ACAGGCUUAAUGUUGAUUAGUUAGGAGUACCAAUAGAUAUAUUUACAGUAUAUACAGGCUUAAUGUUGAUUAGUUAGGAGUACCAAUAGAUAUAUUUACAGUAUAUACAGGCUUAAUGUUGAUUAGUUAGGAGUACCAAUAGAUAUAUUUACAGUAUAUACAGGUUUAAUGUUGAUUAGUUAGGAGUACCAAUAGAUAUAUUUACAGUAUAUACAGGCUUAAUGUUGAUUAGUUAGGAGUACCAAUAGAUAUAUUUACAGUAUAUACAGGUUUAAUGUUGAUUAGUUAGGAGUACCAAUAGAUAUAUUUACAGUAUAUACAGGCUUAAUGUUGAUUAGUUAGGAGUACCAAUAGAUAUAUUUACAGUAUAUACAGGUUUAAUGUUGAUUAGUUAGGAGUACCAAUAGAUAUAUUUACAGUAUAUACAGGCUUAAUGUUGAUUAGUUAGGAGUACCAAUAGAUAUAUUUACAGUAUAUACAGGUUUAAUGUUGAUUAGUUAGGAGUACCAAUAGAUAUAUUUACAGUAUAUACAGGCUUAAUGUUGAUUAGUUAGGAGUACCAAUAGAUAUAUUUACAGUAUAUACAGGCUUAAUGUUGAUUAGUUAGGAGUACCAAUAGAUAUAUUUACAGUAUAUACAGGCUUAAUGUUGAUUAGUUAGGAGUACCAAUAGAUAUAUUUACAGUAUAUACAGGCUUAAUGUUGAUUAGUUAGGAGUACCAAUAGAUAUAUUUACAGUAUAUACAGGCUUAAUGUUGAUUAGUUAGGAGUACCAAUAGAUAUAUUUACAGUAUAUACAGGCUUGAUGUUGAUUAGUUUGAAGUACCAAUAAAUAGGGAAGGUUGAGAAAUCCACUAUAGAUAGUUUAGUGAUGGAGUUGAUUAGAGUACUGUAGCGAGAAAUGUUAUACUGUACUGCAUGUGGUCACUAGUAGUAAUGUUAGUGUACUGCAUGUGGUGUCUAGUAGUAACGUUAUAGUGUACUGCAUGUGGUUUCUAGUAGUAAUGUUAUAGUGUACUGUAUGUGGUCACUAGUAGUAACUUGUGGUAAUGGUAUAGUGUACUGUAUGUAGUCUCUAGUAGUAAUGUUAUAGUGUACUGUAUGUGGUCUCUAGUAGUAAUGUUAUAGUGUACUGUAUGUGGUCUCUAGUAGUCAUGUUAUAGUGUACUGCAUGUGGUCUCUAGUAGUAAUGUUAUAGUGUACUGUAUGUAGUCUCUAGUAGUAAUGUUAUAGUGUACUGUAUGUGGUCUCUAGUAGUAAUGUUAUAGUGUACUGCAUGUGGUCUGUAGUAGUAAUGUUAUAGUGUACUGUAUGUAGUCUCUAGUAGUAAUGUUAUAGUGUACUGUAUGUGGUGUCUAGUAGUAAUGUUAUAGUGUACUGCAUGUGGUCUCUAGUAGUAAUGUUAUAGUGUACUGUGUGUGGUCUGUAGUAGUGAUGUUAUAGUGUACUGUAUGUGGUCUCUAGUAGUAAUGUUAUAGUGUACUGUAUGGGGUAGAGGUUCAUCAAAGAGAAGGACAAUAAAUAAAAUAAAAUAAAAAAUAAAAUAAAUCAAAUUGAGCACACAGCCAUGCAAUCUCCAUAGACAAGCUCAGUGAUUUUCCAUGUGGCACCAUCAUAGGAUGCAUCCUUUCAAACAAGUCAGAGAGCAGGACAAUUAUAACUUGACCUUGGAAGAUCAGCCAUUUUGAUUACGAGUAUCUAUAUUCCAAUGGGUUUAUUGCAGCAUGAAAUUGUUUGUUUGCUUAUGGGGAGUUUUUUUUUAAAGUAAUCAGUUCAACUUUAUUUCACAUAUAUACUUUUAUUAUGUCUUCAAUAAUUCUAUGAUAAUAAUCUAUUUAAAAAUAACAUUCAUUUACCAGUUAGCCAUCUGUAUGUUAUGGUUGAUUACUUAAGUAUUGUUAAUAAAAGUAUUUUAGAUCAAUGAAGCUGUUUUGAUUUUAAUAUCUUUGAUGAUUUGAGGUGACAGUUGUAUCUAGUGUUGUAUGACGUUUCCAUAUUGUCAAUAAAAAUAUAGUAAAAUACUCUUU